GUGGAUGCUGACUGCCUGCUGUUACAACUAUUUGUCCUCCAUCCUGAAUAAUGUUUAGUCAUGUCAUAACAGCCAGCAGCAUGUUGACUAACACUACUUCAGCCUGCAUGUGGAGCAGAACCUGAUUAUAUUGGUGCAUCAAGAUAGGCACGGGGAUGGAUUUAUGUGACAGCCAGAAACUUCAUUAAUCUGUCACUGGGAAAGUGGCUCUGGCUUUUCUACUUUCUAAAGCUGUCGCAUACCAGUUAUUAAAGUGUAGACAACAUGGAAGCUAAAAUAAUACAGGUGGUGAUACUAUGGUAUUUGUUGUAAUUCUCAAAGCCUUUUGUCACAAUGAAUAUAGAAAAAGAUUUUAGGAUCUGAGAGGAUUAGCUUAUUGGUUUUUAAUAACAGAUAUGAGUAUCUGAAAUCUUGGACAUAAGAAUGAGGGUGGUUAGUGAGUUUUGUCGGAGGCGGAGCCACACUGCAGCUGCAUGGGAGUCUGGCUUCUCCAUCGCUAGAAGAGGAAAGCAGAUACCAUGUUCGUAUCAAACAACAGCUAUGCACGUUGUUCUGCUCCAAAACCUACUCUGUGAGAUAACACAGCAAAGCCUGUAAAUCAUUUCCCUUGUGGCAUCGCUUGUCAUUACCAUUGCAAUGAGAUAUACCUUUUGUCAAUGGGAGUAGCAUCAAACACUGAAGAUUUUACUCCGAUUCUAUUCACUGCCCGCAACUCUAUUGGCAAGAUACACUUGGAGGAUUUCAGGAGCGCUGGAGGGUCCACAUAAUCCUUGGAGAUGAAAUAAAAUACCGUGUUCUUUGUAGAUAUGGUAACAGAUUAUUAAAUAAAGCAUAUGAAGAAGAAAUAGGCAAAGCAUACAAAAAAAUACUACUUGUAUCUGGGUUGAUCAAACAUCUUACACUCCUGAACGGCCUGUUAGCUUGUAUUUUUACAGCAUGACUUCUGAGCCCAGAGCACAUCUCAGUAUCACCUGUGUGAGACAAACCUUUUAGAGUGCUCUUACUGCACUUCACAGGCCAUUAUCAUCCAUUAGGCAGCGUAAAAAGCCUAAGCACUGCUAAGUUGUACCCAGUCAUGCCUCUCUGCUCCUUGGUUUAUAACAAACCUGCAAAUAGUUGCCACCUUCUUAUUGCAGGCUUAAAGCAUAAAUGCUGUGUUGGGAAAAAGGGCAGCUUGCUUGAGUUCAGUGUUUAGUGGGUGGAUUUUCAGUGAAAAAUAAAUGGUUAUAAACACA